CAGUCGCCACGGGAAAACCGAGGGUGCAAGCGUUAAUCGGAAUUACUGGGCGUAAAGCGCGCGUAGGCGGCUUCUUAAGUCGGAUGUGAAAUCCCUGAGCUUAACUUAGGAAUUGCAUUCGAUACUGGGAAGCUAGAGUAUGGGAGAGGAUGGUAGAAUUCCAGGUGUAGCGGUGAAAUGCGUAGAGAUCUGGAGGAAUACCGAUGGCGAAGGCAGCCAUCUGGCCUAAUACUGACGCUGAGGUACGAAAGCAUGGGGAGCAAACAGGAUUAGAUACCCGAGUAGUCCCUGUCUCUUAUAC
rnacentral:rRNA from 1 species